rnacentral:rRNA from 1 species
AUUGAACGCUGGCGGAAUGCUUUACACAUGCAAGUCGAACGGCAGCACGGGGGCAACCCUGGUGGCGAGUGGCGAACGGGUGAGUAAUACAUCGGAACGUGCCCAAUCGUGGGGGAUAACGAAGCGAAAGCUACGCUAAUACCGCAUACGAUCUACGGAUGAAAGCGGGGGAUCGCAAGACCUCGCGCGAAUGGAGCGGCCGAUGGCAGAUUAGGUAGUUGGUGGGGUAAAGGCUCACCAAGCUAACGAUCUGUAGCUGGUCUGAGAGGACGACCAGCAACACUGGGACUGAGACACGGCCCAGACUCCUACGGGAGGCAGCAGUGGGGAAUUUUGGACAAUGGGCGCAAGCCUGAUCCAGCCAUUCCGCGUGCAGGAUGAAGGCCUUCGGGUUGUAAACUGCUUUUGUACGGAACGAAACGGCCCUUUCUAAUACAGAGGGCUAAUGACGGUACCGUAAGAAUAAGCACCGGCUAACUACGUGCCAGCCGCCGCCGUAACAC